GCUGCCAGGCCCGAGCUGGUCUGGGAGGGACUGCGCAGAACCUUGGAGACUUUCCCUCUGAAAUGCUUUAUUUUCACGGAGAGCAGAGCCCCGGCGGCCCCCGGACAGGCCGCCGUGGGGUCAGAUGUGACUUUGUCCGUUGAAGCAGAGAAGAGAGAGAAGAGAUCACGAGGGGGAGCAGCCGGCUCCCAAUCAAGUGUCCGGAGACCGAGGAUUCGGAGCGAGAAGAUCCGGGAAACCCUCCGCUCUCAUUGCCUCCUUCCAUGUUACUCUCCCGUGCGGCGCUAGAGCCAGAAUGCAAUGGCCUCUGCUGUGCUCUGUACACAAUCUCCUAUCUCCAUGCCUUUGCUUAGGCUGUCCCGGACACCUGGAACACCCUCCCUCCGACAUCGGCCUCUCGGAACCUCUAGCUCUCUUCAAGGAUGAGCUUGCUACACUGGCUCUUUUCUGAUUCCCCAUCCUUUUAGUGCCUCCCCUCCAUUGUUCAGUCUUUAUUCUUUAUGCAUCUCGUAUUUCCUCACAGUAUUCCUGCGGAUAUUGUCUAGCCCCUCCCUCAGGACAAGGAAUAGACCACUUUUGUCUUAGGGCCCCUAGAUGUUGAUUAAAUGCUGUUAUGUUGAA